GCGCCGGUUCAGCCGGAGACCGCUGUGGGAACCGCGCCGAACACGCUUUGGGCGGCCAUUUUGUAACUCGAAUCUACCCCCAAAACCAAUUCGAAAAAAAGGGAGGAAAGAAACGCCCCGACAGUGUUCUGAACUGGGUUGAACACACAAAGGAUGCUACAAUUUUCCACUUGUAUACAGGGUGCUUCCUGCCCUCUAACAUUGGACUCCAAGUUCUUCAGUUUUAGGACUCAGACUGGCUCUUCUUGCUCCUCAGCUUGCAGACAGCCUAUUUUGGGACCUUGUGAUGAUAGGUCAUCAAAUUUUAGAUGGUGAUGCAGAUGGCACCCCACAUGGACAAGUCCUUCUUCCGAGGCCUGCUAGACCACCCUCUGCAUGACUCUUGACUGCCACACAAACAAUGUCCCCUCACAGCUUGAGCAGCUAGUGUGGUUUUCUUCCCUUUUCCCUAAACCGCAAUUAGGGUCACUACUCCAGAAUGGGGAAGGAGAGAGGAGGCAGUUAGGAGCUGGUUAGGCAGAUCGAGAGGGAGGAUCAGUGGAGAAGAACAGAGAGAGGCAAUAUUCACAUGAACAACCAUGGACAGCACCUAAACUGCCUAUGCAGCUAAAGGGAAGAAAUGUGGUUAAGAGCUUCCCCUUAAGCCAGGGUGCUGCUCACAGGGACUGUCCCAACUUAGGGGCAGGCACAAUUCAUCAAAAUAAAUAUCUUUGUCUUAACCUUGCUAAAUAUAAUAUUGUUAACAUGAUAUCAGCAUUGUGUGUUUAGCCCCUCCAUGGAUUUUGGUUAAGCAUUCAUGGGUAAUAACCAAGAGGGAGUCAGUCAGCCCAAACUCAAGCAUGUGCAGAUGCAACACCCAUAGGAGGAACAUUUACCUCUCCCAUUUGGAGAAAAACCUACAGAAGACUUCCUGGCUUCUGCCACAUAACAUAUCAGGAACUCAGUCCUGUUUCUGGAAACUUGCUUUCCAGCCCCCUCUCUUUGCUGAUAACUUUCCUUUUGCUUAAUAAAUCCUACUCUACUCACUCU
ensembl:lncRNA CDH18-AS1 CDH18 antisense RNA 1